rnacentral:rRNA from 1 species
AUUGAACGCUGGCGGCAGGCCUAACACAUGCAAGUCGAACGAGUGGCGGACGGGUGAGUAAUGUCUGGGGAACUGCCUGAUGGAGGGGGAUAACUACUGGAAACGGUAGCUAAUCCCGCAUACCAUCAGAUGUGCCCAGAUGGGAUUAGCUUGUUGGUAAGGUAACGGCUUACCAAGGCGACGAUCCCUAGCUGGUCUGAGAGGAUGAUCAGCCAAACGGGAACUGAGACACGGCCCAGACUCCUACGGGAGGCAGCAGUGGGGAAUAUUGCACAAUGGGCGCAAGCCUGAUGCAGCCAUGCCGCGUGUAUGAAGAAGGCCUUCGGGUUGUAAAGUACUUUCAGUGGGGAGGCGUUACCCGCAGAAGAAGCACCGGCUAACUCCGUGCCAGCAGCCGCGGUAAUAC